rnacentral:rRNA from 1 species
CGAGAGGCCCAAACGUUAUUCGGAAUUACUGGGCUUAAAGAGUUCGUAGGCGGUAUGAAAAGCAGGGUGUGAAAGCCCUCGGCUCAACCGAGGAAUUGCGCUCUGAACUGUCGUACUCGGGGAACCUAGAGGUGAGCAGAACAGAUGGUGGAGCGGUGAAAUGCGUUGAUAUCAUCUGGAAUACCGGAGGCGAAGGCGGCUCACUGGGGGUUUUCUGACGCUGAGGAACGAAAGCCAGGGUAGCGAACGGGAUUAGAUACCCCGGUAGUCCUGGCCGUAAACGAUGAGCACUAGGCCGGAGCCCUGCACAGGGUUCGGCCGUAGCUAAAGUGUUAAGUGCUCCGCCUGGGGAGUAUGGUCGCAAGGCUAG